UCGUACGGUAACAGGUCCAGCAAUGGAUGCUGACGAGUGGCGCACGGGUGCGUAACACGUAUGCAACCUACCUUUGACUGGGAGAUAGCCCCGAGAAAUCGGGAUUAAUACCCCAUACAAUUACGAUGAGACAUCUCAUUGUAAUGAAAGCUCCGGCGGUCUUUAGAUGGGCAUGCGCGACAUUAGCUAGUUGGUGAGGUAACGGCUCACCAAGGCUCCGAUGUCUAGGGGUUCUGAGAGGAUUCACCCCCACACUGGUACUGAGACACGGACCAGACUCCUACGGGAGGCAGCAGUAAGGAAUAUUGGUCAAUGGACGCAAGUCUGAACCAGCCAUGCCGCGUGCAGGAAGACAGCCCUACGGGUUGUAAACUGCUUUUGUACGGGAAAAAACCUCCGGUCGUGCACCGGAGCUGAUGGUACCGUAAGAAUAAGCAUCGGCUAACUCCGUGCCAGCAGCCGCGGUAAUACGGAGGAUGCAAGCGUUAUCCGGAUUCAUUGGGUUUAAAGGGUGCGCAGGCGGAAUGAUAAGUCAGUGGUGAAAUCCUACGGCUCAACCGUAGAACUGCCAUUGAUACUGUCGUUCUUGAGUACACUUGAAGUGGGCGGAAUGUGUCAUGUAGCGGUGAAAUGCUUAGAUAUGACAAGGAACACCGAUCGCGAAGGCAGCU
rnacentral:rRNA from 1 species